AGAUCCUGCCGGCUCUGGACUAGCCGCUCAGCACCAGGGCGGAAGGAAGACGAGGCGAGGCAAGCGCCAAGCUUCCAUCCGGACUUCAAGGCCAGUGGCUGGGUCUGGUUUUCUCAACACGGCCUCCUAGUCUCCUUCCCGCUUGGGCAUCUGUUUUUCUUAUAUAGACCCUGAAGCCGCCCGUGAUGUUCUGUAAGCAGGUUCCGCUUCAGAAUCAGAGGUACUUAAGAGGGAACCUGGAUGCUAGACCUGCCCUUGCUGCUGGCCUCAGUUUCUUUACCUGUAAAACAGGGAUUUUGGAACUGUUAAAUUAAAUCAAACUUAAAAGAAUUACAACUUAAAGCUGCUGGAACUUUACAUGAUCCCGAGCCUUGAGAGGAAUGUGGCUAUGCAGCCUGAGUCAUGUGGCAUGCAGAUGCAACCUCUGCCUUUUUCCGCUGUAAAUAAUUAAGAAGACCAAGUAGCAUCCAAGUCUCUUGUCCUUCUGCCUGCUGUUGUGGGAUGAUGUGUAGAGGAAGAUAGUCUUCCUCUACACAGCAAGAAGAUCCCUACCAGAUGCAGCCCUCUCAACCUUGGACUUCCUGACAUCCAGAACUAGUCACCUAAGCUGAAGAUUCCCUUGAGAACAAGUACUGUCCUGUGGUUUCAUGGCCUUUCUUCCAUUUGUGGUUCUUGCCAAGCGGAAUUUAAAUGACAUCUUAUCAAGAUGGAUAAACCCUAGUUUCCCAGUGCUGGAAUAUAGAAAAUGGAUGGACAAGUAAAUCCCACUCAGCACCCAUAGCCCAGGCAUGGGGACCUCAACACAUUUGAGCCGCAGAGAUCACCUUUCAUUGUGAAUAGCUCUGAGAUGAUACUUCUGGUUGAAUGUCUUUUUGUCACUUCCGGCUGGAUCUACCAUGAAAGAUUUCUGAAUCCAGGAAGAGAGAUUGACUGGGCAACAUGUUAUUCAGACAGGGUCUCACUCUGUCGCCCAGGCUGGAGUGCAGUGGCAUGAUCUUGGCUCACUGUAGUGUAGACUUCCCAGCCUCAAGGGAUCCUCCCACCCCAGACUCCCAAGUAGCUGGAAUUACAGGUAUGCACCACCACCACACCUGGCUAAUAUUUUUCUUUUUUUUGGUAGACAUAUAGUCUCACUAUGUUGCGCUGACAGGUCUCCAACUCCUGGCCUCAAGUGAUCCUCCUGCCUAGGCUUCCCAAAUUGCUGGGAUUACAGGCAUGAGCCACAGUGCCUGGCCUCUGCUAGUUCUGUAUUCUCUAGAGUUGUCUUUACUUUGUGCUAGUGUGUCCCUCAUUAUGCUGAUCCUCUGCUAAAAUUAAUACUUUUUUUUUGAGAUGGAGUUUCACUCUUGUUGCCCAGGCUGGAUUGCCCAGGCUAGAGUGCAAUGGCACUAUCUUGGCUCACCGCAACCUCCACCUGCCGGGUUCAAGCGAUUCUCCUGCCUCAGCCUUCCGAGUAGCUGGGAGUAGCAUGUGCCACCAUGCCUAGCUAAUUUUGUAUUUUUAGUAGAGAUGGGGUUUCUCCAUGUUGGUCAGGCUGGUCUUGAACUCCUGACCUCAGGUGAUCCGCCUGCCUUGGCCUCCCAAAGUGCUGGGAUUACAGGCAUGAGCCAUGGUGCCUGGCCAAAAUUAAUACUUUCUAUAUUAAAUUUACAUAUAUAUAUUUUUUUUCUUUUUGAUACCAGGUCUCAUGCUCUCACUCAGGCUGCAGUACAGUGGCACAACCUCUACUCACUGCAGCCUCUACCUGCCAGGCUCAAGCAAUUCUCCUGACUUAGCCUCCCGAGUAGCUGGGAUUACAGUUGAAGCAUAUGUCCUGUGAGCUUAGGGGUGCUACAAGUUGACCACUGCAGCAGUAAAGAUGAUUCUGAAGAAUGGCAUGGGAUGGAUCCUUUCGAAUGCACUUGAGCAGCGGUCUCCAACCACAGGGCCACAGAGCUGGAGCUGGAUCUACCAUGAAAGACUUCUGAAUCCAGGAAGAGAGACUGACUGGGCAACAUGUUAUUCAGGAGAUGGGGUCUCACCCUGUCGCCCAGGCUUGAGUACAGUAGUGCUAUCACAGCUCACUGCAGCCUUGAACUCCUGGGCUAAGGAUCCUCCUACCUGAGCCUCCUGAGUAGCUGGGACUGGUCUCCCUCUGUUGUCCAAGGCUGGAGUGUAGUAGUGCUAUCACAGCUGACUGCAGCCUCAACCUUCCAGGCUGAAGCGAUCCUCCCAUCUCAACCUCCCACGUGGCUGAGACUACAGGCGCUUGCCACUAUGCCCAACUAAUAUUUGGAAUUUUCCUAUACGUGGAUUCCAGAGGGGUGACAGCGAAACGUGGGACCAUCCAGUUGCAGGAAAACGAGCUUAACACGCCCACUGAUUCUACAUUAUGGUGCUACCUCCCGGCAGCCUCUCCAGGCCCAGAACUUUCUCCAGUCGGCCUCCACAGACCAAGCUCAUGACUCACAAUGGCCUAUUUAGGCCCAUACCCUACCUCACGGCAGUCUCCGCAGAUGAGGCUACUGCCUCACAACAGCCUCCACAGGCACAGCUCCAUCGUUACAAUGGCCUCUUUAGACCCAGCUCCUGCCUCCCAGCCUUCUCUCUAGGCCCUGAACUUUCUCAAGUCGACGUCACCAGGCCCAGCUCAUGCUUCUUGGCAGCCUCUCCAGGCCCAGCUCUUCCUCCCGGCGGCCUCUGCAGGCCCAGACUGUCAUCAAGUCGGCCUGUCCAGGGCCAGCUCCUGCCUCCCGGCGCCCUCUGCAGGCCCAAGUCGUCCUCAAGUUGGCCUCCCCAGGCCCAGCUCCAGCCUCUCGGCGGCCUCUCCGGGUGCAAAAGUUCCUCGAGUCAGCCUCUCCAGGCCCAGCUCCUCCUGCCUCCCAGUGCCUCUUUCGGCCCAGCCCAGCUCAUGCCUCUGGGCGGCCUUCCCAGGCCCCGCUUUUGACUUUUGGCGGCCUCUGCAGGCCUCGACAAGGCCCGGCCUCCUGCCUCCCGAAGCCUGCACAGGCCCAGCCUCUGCCUCACAGCAGACUCUCCACGCCCAGCUAGCUCUCGCCUCACUGCGGCCUCCCCAGUCCAAAGCUCCUGCCUCUCGGCCGCUUCGGCAGGCCCAGCUCCCGCCUGCCAGUGCCUCUUCAGGCCCAUGGGGCUCAUUCCUCACAACGGCCUUUCCAGGCCCCGUUUUUCCCUUCCGGCGGCCUCUCCGGGCCCAGAACCUCCUCAAGUUGGCCUCUCCAGACCCACUUGCACCCUCCGGGCGUCCUCUCCAGGCCCAGCUCUUCCUCCCGGCUGCGUCUCCAGGCCCGACUCCUGCCUCCCAACAACCUCUUUGGACUCAGUGCCUGCCCAUCUCCUGGCGGCCUUGGUCGGCCCACAGCUUCCUCAAGCCAAGCUCCCCAGGCCCAGGUCAGGCCUCACGGUGGCCUCUCCAGGAUCAGCUCCUGCCCUCCGAUGGUGUCUCCAGGCCCCAAAUGGUCUCCGGCCAGUGGGCUCCUCCACGCCCAGCUUGGGCCUCCCGGCGACCUCUGCAGGCCCAAGUCGUCCUGAAGUCGGCCUCUCCCGGCCCUGCCUCCCAGCAAGUAAGCAAGCUUUUUUGGCUUAGCUCCUGCCCAGCUCCCAACCGCCUUUGUAGGCCCCGAACUUUCUCCAGCCAAGCUCUUCGGGCCCACCUCCUGCCUCCCGGUGGCCUGUACAGGCCCAGCUCUGGCUGGAGAACAGCCUCUGCAGGCCCCGCUCUUGCCUCCCAGGGGCCUCUCCAGGCCCAGCUCUCGCCCCCACAGCGGCCUCCCGGGGCCAAGUCCCUGCCUGCCUCCCGGCAUCCCGCAUGCAGCCCAGCUCCUCCCUCACGGUGGCCUGUUGAUGCCCAACUCAUGCCUCUGGCACCCUGCCCAGAGGCGUGAGCCCCUGCCUCACACCGGCUCCUCCCACGCUGACAGAGGUCAGCGUGAGCCCCUGCCUCAACAGGCCACCGUGAGGGAGGAGCAGGGCCGCACGCGGGCUGCCGGAAGGCGGACAGGGACUUGGCCCCGGGAGGCCGCGGUGGGGCAAGAGCUUGGCCUGGAGACGCCCCUGGGAGGCAACAGCAGGGCCUGCAGACGCUCUUCUCCAGCCAGAGCUGGGACUGUACAGGCCACUGGGAGGCAGGAUGUGGGCCUGAAGAGCUUGGCUGCAGAAACUUUGGGCUCUUCCUCCCGGCUGCGUCUCCAGGCCCAACUCCGGCCUCCCAACAAGGUCUUUGGACUCAGCUCCCCCGCAGCUUCCAGCGGCCCUGGUAGGCCCACAACUUCCUGAAGCCAAGCUCCCCAGGCCCAGCUCAGGCCUCACGGUGGCCUCUCCAGGCUCAGCUCCUGCCCUCCGACAGCGUCUCCAGGCCCCAAACGGCCUCCGGUCGGUGGGCUCCUCUAGGCCCAGCUUGGGCCUCCCGGCAGCCUCUGCAGGCCCAAAUCGUCCUGAAGUCGGCCUCUCCAGGCCCAGCUCCAGCCUCCCGGCGGCCUCUGCAGGCCUAAGUCGUCCUCAAGUCGGCCUGGAAAUGGGCCUGGAAGAGCUGCAAGUCGGCCUCCCCGGGCCCAGCUCCGUCCUCUCGGCGGCCUCUCCAGGUGCAAAACUUCCUCGAGUCAGCCUCUCCAGGCCCAGCUCCUCCUGCCUCAGUGGCCUCUUUCGGCCCAGCCCAGCUCAUGGCUCUCGGCGGUCUUCCCAGGCCCCGCUUUUGACUUUUGGUGGCCUCUUCAGGCCCAGAACUUGACCUCCAGUCGGCCUUUGCAGGCCCGGCCUCCUGCCUCUCGAAGGUCUGCAUGGGCCCGGCCUCGGCCUCACAGCGGACUCUCCACGCCCAGCUAGCUCUCGCCUCACUGCACCCUCCCCAGUCCAAAGCUCCUGCCUUUCGGCCACUUCGGCAGGCCCAGCUCCUGCCUGCCAGUGGCCUCUUUAGGCCCAGCUCAUUCCUCACAACGGCCUUUCCAGGCCCCGUUUUUCCCUUCCGGCAGCCUCUUGGCCUCUAAUUUUUUUAUCUUUUGUGUAUAAAUCCCAAAUUAUGGAAUUUUGGAAUAUUUCCACCAUUAUAUAAAUAUUUUGGUAGGUAAUUUAUUUGGAGUGAGUUUCUGCACCAAGCCCGAAUUUUUUAUUUUAUUUUCCUUAUUAUUUGGUGUUAAACAGGUUUAAUGACGGUCAUGGCAACUUUUUGGCACAAUGAAAAAUAUCGCCCAUGAUCAACGUGUUCUGUUCUGGGGAAGGGGGCAAAGGCAGGGUGAAUCACUUUCUUAAAAAGUACAGCUUAAGUUGGGAGUGCAGAGGGAAUGGGGAGAAAACCCUCCCACUGCCUGUGUCGAAGUGCAGGAGCCCCCACCCCCAUACUCACCUGAGUCCAGCCCCUCUGGGGAAAGAAGGGGUGCAUGAACUCCCCCUAUUCCACAGGCGCCUCCCUGUGGCCCAAGGCCCUCUUCACACUCCAUCUUGUAGCCCCAGCAGGAGCUAUUUUCCGAAAAGUGAAAAGCUCUGAAGGUCCCACACUUCAUGGUAUGUACAGGGGCUCAGAGGAGGGAAACUGCCAAGCUUUCCCCCUGCACAGCAGCAGGGGUAGGGGGUAUAUACAAGAGGAGCAGGCCUUGGCCAGGCGUGGUGGCUCAUGCCUGUAAUCCCAGCACUUUGGGAGGUGGAGGCAGGCGGAUCACGAUGUCAGGAGAUCGAAAUCAGCCUGGCCAAGAUGAUGAAGCCCCGUCUGUACUAAAAAUACAAAAAUUAGCUGGACAUGUUAGCGUGCACCUGUAAUCCCAGCUACCCAGAAGGCUGAGGCAGGAGAAUGGCGUGAACCCAGCAGGAAGAGGUUGCAGUGAGCCAAGAUCGCACCACUGCACUCCAGCCUGGGUGACAGAGCAAGACUCUGUCUCAAAAAAAAAAAAAAAAAAAAGAGAAGCAGGCUUUAUUCCGUCCCAAACUGAAAGGAUUAAAUGGCUUUACCCGGGAGAAGAUAACCAUCCUGCCCUCCAUUGCUACCCCCACAUAAUGUCCAUGUUCUCAGGGGGUACUGUGAGUCCUAGGAUCUUCUUUGGGGUGGCCCACCUGCCUGUGGUAGUUAUGGAGGGACCCAGGUGUUGAGGCAGGGCUGGGGUGCCCCUUCCAGCCAGGCUGUCGAGGCCCCAACUCUGGGGCAGAGGCAGUGGCAGGGCAGCCAGGGUUGCGCCAGAGCCUGAGCAGGGUGAGGUGGGGUCAGGCAGGGCUGGGAGUCAGGGCAGGGGCAGCAGCAGUGGACCCGCUAUGCACACAUCUUCUUCUUCAAGGUUUGUGUGCAGAACAUCCUGCCCAUACUGCCCCAGCAGCUUCAGUUGGCACCUGCCCCAGUCCAGCCUCUGGGACCCAGGCAGCGGCUCCCAGCAGCCCUGGACCCACCACCAGCAUCUGUUUCACCUGCAGUGGAAGAUCCAUGAGGUGCCCAGAAGAUCAUGCAGUCAUCAGUCCCACGGAGCAGCCCGCGAGGCUGAGGCUCCUCCCACUGGACUGCCCCCCAACUGGCACCACUGCUGCCCCUGCCCCUACUCUCAGCCUCAUGUGACUCUCGGGCAGAGGCAGUGGUAGGGCAGCUUCAGAGUCUGAGCCAGGUGAGGUGGGGUCAGGACCCCCGCAGGGGUGGGAAUCAGGGCAGGGGCAGAACAAACCUUGGAGAGGAAGAUGUGUGUAUAGUGGGCCUGGAGAGCGGCUGUGGCCUAGUGGACAGGAAGAAGCAGUGGGCCUGGAAGAGCUGCAUGAUCAGGGCCAGCACUGGUCCAGGGCGCGUGCAGUGAAGAGGACAGCGCCUUCUCGGUCUCCAGUUCCCUGAGCCCGUCCUCGGCUUCUUCACCUGUACAGGCAAAGGGGAAGCUGUCCCCAUCACACAUGGCACACUUGGGCUGCAGAUGGAGCAUCUUCUCAUCCUGCAUUUGGGCAUGGUGGGGUCCUCCAGUGCGGGAUCCAUGUCCGUGGGGUUCCCUCUGCCCCGACCCCCAAAGCCCAGUCAGUUUCUCCUCUUCAGGCUCUGCCCCCCGGGUGGCUCAGCCCAGCUCCUGCCUAGGAAAGCCUUAGUGUUGGGAGGGACUGCGAUGACUGAGGGGCCUGGUAGCUCCAGGUCGCCCACACUUUCAGGUCUCUUGCACCACAAGGUGGCAGGAUCCAUUGGGAGGAAACAGGUCGCCUUGGAAGGCGUCCCUGGGCCCCCAUCCCCAGGGGUAGGGGCCGUAGGGGGCCCGCUCUGCUGCCCUGACCAGACUCCUGGGCUUUGAAGGCUCCUGGGCCCAGUAAGAAGGAGGUGGGUGCCAAGGUUGAGGAGGAAGCAUCCGAGUAUGUGUAGGAGGAGGACGGGGUGGGACCAUAGACUUUGCCAAAAACUGCAGGUGGAUCGGGGGACCCGGGGGACUCAGGAUCCAGCAAGGGGCGGCAGGAGUAAAGGAAGAAGGAAUGACAGGUGCAAAUACCUUCCCACCAAAGCCCUUGUUGCCCUCUGGCUCCUCCCCAGAGCUGUCCCCACUCUCAGUCGGUCACCCACUCCUUGAACUUGAGAUCAGUGUCAGUGGUGCUAAAGCCGUCAUCAGCAAUGACAUCAUCACCCCCUCCUCCUCAUGGAUGACCAUGUGCUCCUCGUCACUCGCUAUGACCUCGCUGGCCAUGUGCUGGGAAUGAGCAGCUUAGGUGGGCAGCAGCAGGGCUGCCCACUGGUCACCUCCCUCACCAGGGGCUGCAAAGUGGCCUGGAGCUCCAUACUGAGUAGAAGGCUUUGGGCCAGAGUAUGAUGCAGUGCCAGACACCACCUGUGUCAGUUCCUGUAGUGCCCGAUGGUCUAUUUCCCUGCCAUCCAGGCUGUGUACCCCCCUGUGGGAGAAGGCUUGGGCCAGGCUGAGCCAGGUUCCCUGACUGUGUGCAGCCGUUCUGCCCCACAGAAGCUGCUCCUUGGUAUCCGAGCUCUGGAGUGUCUGGGCUGCAACUGACAGGAGUUCAGAGGACACCCCAGGGGCAGUGGCAGUGCCCGUCUGUGAUAUGCUCUGCUCCCACGAGCCCUUGUACACUCCUGCUAGCCCCUGGCUUGUGGGCUUGGCCUCUGAGCUGGACUUCUUUCGGUCCUUGUUGCAAGUGGGCCACCUUCACCUGGAAGGCCAGGUCGUGGUAUUGCUGAAGAUCAUGACCGCCACUCAUGGGCCACCGGAUGUGGUCCUUGUCCCAUUUGUUGGGGCUGCAUCCAUCCUUCUCAGAAGAUGAGUCCUGUUCCUUGUGCAGGGCACUGAGGGACUGGGCCUGACAUCAUCUGAGUGGUAGAGGCAACUGGGUGUCAGGAGACAUAACGGAGAGGAAAGCAUCAUCAUGGUCAUUCUCUGUCUCACUGUCCAGCAGGGACUUCCCUGAGGGGCCCAGGGCUCCUCCUUCAUGGUGGGAGGUGGGCUUUUACCAGGUUCCACUACCCCCAAAGUGUGUGGGGUUCCGGGCCCUGGGCUUUCAGGGCAGGUGGAUCCAGGGGGCUGCCGAAGGUCAGCACUCCCUGUCCCACCUGGUGGACACUCGUGAGCAACAGCUGCUGACUUGGCAGGUUCUUUGCUCUGGUUGGAGGCCACUGAGUGACUGGCAGGUUGCUAGGCCUCACGUGGCUGCAGGGAGGGGUCAGGAAGGGGACAGAGUACCAGGAGAACACAGCCACAGAGCAAGGUUCCACGUUCCUCCACACAAACAUGCUGACGCCACCGGAGGCCUCGCUGGACGCAGACAUCAGGGGCCUGUGGGCCAAGUACAUGGUCUGGGCAGGGGGUUCCUGGCAGGGGCUCACACCUCCUCAGCCCCCUCCUCAGCCAAGGCAGCUUGGACCCACGGAAGGGGGGAUGGGAGGGGAGCACGAGACCAGGCCUCAAGUUUUGUUUUUUGUUUUUUGUUUUUUUGUUUUUUUUUGGAGGUGCAGUUUGGCAGUCUGGAGUGCAGUGGUGCGAUCUCAGCUCACUGAAACCUCCACUUCCUGGGUUCAAGCAAUUCUCCGGCCUCAGCCUCCCAAGUAUAUGCACCUUUACUGCUGAAUAUUAUAUAUUUUCUUAUGCUUUCAUGUGAUUAAUUAGCAUUCUUUUUUUUUUCUUUUUGAGACAGAGUGUUGCUCUGUUGCCCAGGCUGGAGGGCAGUGGUGUGAUCUCGGCUCACUGCAACCUCCGCCUCAUGGUUUAAUUGAUUCUCCUGCCUCAGCCCCCUGAGUAGUUGGGAUUACAGGCACCCGCCACCAUACCUGGCUAAUUUUUUGUAUUUUUAGAAGGCAUGGGUUUUUGCCAUGUUGGCCUGGCUGGUCUUGACCUCCUGACCUCAAGUGAUCCACUCUCCUCGGCCUCCCAAAAUGCUGGGAUUACAGGCAUGAGCCACCACACCCAGCUGCUUUCUUUCAUUUUUACUUGAAAAACUCCGUUAAGCAUUUCUUUUAAAGUAGACCUAGUGCUCCUGAAUUACCUCAGCUUUGUUUGUCUAGGGAACAUGUUAUUUAUUCUUUCUUUCUGAAGGAUAGCUUUGUCAAAUAUAGUAUUAGUUGCUGGCAGUUUUUUUCUUUCAGCACUUUGAAUAUAUUCUUCAAUUCUCUCCUGACCUUCAAAGUUUCUUCUGAGAAAUCUGCUGAUAGUUUAAUGAAGAUUCUCUUGUUGGUGUCAUGCCACUUGUCUCUUGCCUCUUCAACAUUUUAAAAAAUCUUUGACUUUUGACUAUUUGAUUAUAUUGUGAUUAUAUAUAUUUGGUUUUAACCUCUUUAGGAAUCUUUAAGCUUCAUGCACUUGGAUGUCUAAAUCUUUCCCAUGAUUUAGGCAGUUUCAGCCAUCCUUUCUUUAAAUAAACUUCCUUCUCCUAUCUCUACUUUCCUUCUCAAACUCACAUGACAGUGGAUUGCCUAAUGGUGUCUCGAUGGCUUUCUUUUCUCUCUCUUUUUUUUCGAGAUGGAGUCUUGCUCUGUCACCCAGGCCAGGGUGCAAUGGCGUGGUCUUGGCUCACUGCAGCCUCCCACUUGGGCUCUGCAGCCCAGCCUGUCUUGUAACCACUGCCUCCUCAAAGCGACACCUGGCAGAUUCUUCUUCCCUUUGAGGGAGAAUCAUCGUUGUUGCUUCAUCUCUUCUAAGACAUUUUGUAGGGCAUGGACAAGUUAAACAGAAUGUGCUUUCCUCCCUGAGGUCUCGCUGUCCCACAGGCUCCUGGGAGAAUGCCACAGGGGCCAUGCACUGGUCGAGCUUCUCUGUAGAACCCAGGGGCUUCAGCCCAGAACACAGCAUCUAGCCCUAAGCCUAGAGCAGGGAGGGAGUCCCGAACUUCUGCAUUCACAGACCACCUCCAGAACUGUUAUAACCAAAGGCAUCCUGUUCUAUUAUUUCACUUAAAUCAACAUGUUAUUUUGUUUUCACUCACUCCUGGCUUUCUCCUUGUGCCGAGCCCAUGUAUCCAUGCAGUCAUGUUCACAGGCUAGUUAUGUUUUCCUUCUUACACAUGAAAAUAAAUGCAUAACUGGUAGAAGCUCUUCCGUGUUUCAUAUAAGCUCUCACACAGGUAAACCCUGGCCUUUGGUAGUAGCCCUGGAAAGAUGUUUGCUGGGCAUCUGCUCACUAUGGCGGGGGUGUCCAAAGAGUGCUGGGGCUCAGCUCAGCAGACAGAGGGGCUCGUUUCCUGCCUCAUGCCCAACACCAGAGACUGAUGCUGGCCAACUCACAGGUGUGCCUCUUCUGGACAAGGGCCACCACUGACGGGGUUGGCUGCAGGGGCCUCACUAGGGCAGCCAAAUGCUUCAAGAAUUAACACUCAGGCUGGGCGUGGUGGCCAAUGCCUGUAAUUCCAGCACUUUGGGAGGCCAAGGCGGGCGGAUCACCUGAGCUUGGGAGUUCAAGACCAGCCUCACCAACAUGGAGAAACCCCUUCUCUACUAAAAAUACAAAAUUAGCUGAGCAUGGUGGUGCAUGCCUAUAAUCCCAGCUGCUCAGGAGGCUGGGGCAGGAGAAUUACUUGAACCCAGGAGGUGGAGGUUGCAGUGAGCCUAGAUCAUACCAUUACACUCCAGCCUGAGCGACAGAGGGAAACUCCGUCUCGAAAAAAAAGAAUUAACACUCAGGCCAGAUGUGGUGGCCAAAGCCUGUAAUCCCAGCACUUUGAGAGGCUGAGGUGGGGGGGUCACUUGAGGCCAGGAGUUUCAGACCAUCCUGGCCAACAUGGCGAAACCCCGCCUCUGCUAAAAAUACAAAAAUUAGCUGGGCAUGGUGGCGCAUGCCUCUAGUCCCAGCUACUUGGGAGGUUGAGGCAGGAGAAUUCCUUGAAUCUGGGAGGCAGAGGUUGCAGUGAGCUGAGAUCACAUCACUGCACUCCAGCCUGGGUGACACAGUGACACCCUGUCUCAAAAAAAAAAAGAACACUCACUCCCAGGGCAUGCUCCCUACAUGUAACCAGGCUGCUCUCCCUCUGCAAGCUUGCACACUGACCCCUGGGCUCCCUUCGUGGGCACAGGCCAAGAGAAAGUUUGUGGCCUGAAAGAGCACUGGCUUGGGAACAGGCCACCCAGAUCUCAGACCUAUCUCUGUACUCAAUAGCGUGAACAAGUUAGUAACCCUCAGCCUUGAUGUUCUCAUCUGGAGCAAUUUUUUAAAAUUUUUUAUUGGC
rnacentral:lncRNA from 1 species